GAAAGCAAAGAAAGAAACCAAAUUUAUCCUCUACUUCCCAUCAGCAGGCGAUGUCCAACCACUUCCCGGGAAGCAGGGCCCCCGUACGCGUAGCGGUUGCUU